rnacentral:rRNA from 1 species
ACGCCCUACGGGACGCAGCAGUGGGGAAUAUUGCACAAUGGGGGAAACCCUGAUGCAGCGACGCCGCGUGAGUGAAGAAGUAUUUCGGUAUGUAAAGCUCUAUCAGCAGGGAAGAUAAUGACGGUACCUGACUAAGAAGCCCCGGCUAACUACGUGCCAGCAGCCGCGGUAAUACGUAGGGGGCAAGCGUUAUCCGGAUUUACUGGGUGUAAAGGGAGCGUAGGUGGCCGGGCAAGUCAGAUGUGAAAACCAGGGGCUCAACUCCG